rnacentral:rRNA from 14 species
GUAGCGGCGAGCGAAAGCGGAUUGAGGUCAGGCGAAGUCCCUGGAAUGGGGCGUCAUAGAAGGUGAAAACCCUGUAGCCGACCGUUAGAGUCUUCAAGUAGGUUCGGGCCCGUGAAACCCGGAUCGAACGUGGGGGGUCCACCCUCCAAGACUAAGUACUCCCUGACGACCGAUAGCGCAUCAGUAAGGUGACUGAAUGAUAAAAAGUACCGCGAUGAGCGGGGUGAAAGAGUACCUGAAACCGUGUGCCUACAAGCGGUGGGAGCCCUUUUGGGGGUGACCGCGUGCUUUUUGCAUAAUGAGCCCACGAGUUAGUCUCUGCAGCGAGCCUAAGGCCUACCGGGCCGGAGGCGAAGGGAAACCGAGUCUGAAUAGGGCGCCCAGUUGCAGGGGCUAGACGCGAAACCCGUGUGAUCUACC